rnacentral:lncRNA from 1 species
UUUUUUUGAAAGGAGCACACAACAUUCCAUGAACUUUUUUUUUGAGAUAAAGCAUUCCAUUAACUUAACGUGCAUAUCGCCGGCAAGAUACAAAUCCAGGGAAUUGACCCAGGCAGGUUUCUAUGUAACCCUUCCCGUACUGGCACUAUGCACAGCUAAAGUGCACGCUACUUUUUUACAAUCUCCACUACAGUGUUCAACACCUGCAAUAUUUAAGCCCACCAUGCGCAGCUAAAGUAUGGGCUCUCUUUGUUACAAUCUCUACUACAAUGUUCAACACUUACCACAUUUAAGCCCACAUGCAUUUAAGCCCACACACAUUUGAAAUUUAACAUCCUAGAAUAAAGAGCCUAGUGCUGAAAGAUCAUGAUUUGUAGCAGAACGGCUUGGUCAUUUCUAAUAGCAAAUUUGCUUCAGUAAAUGACAUGUCUGUAUUUAUCUUCAGGGUUCCAAUAGGAGGUGACUUCCAUUUUUGCUCCAUCUUCUUGUUUGGUUCAUUCUUGUGUGACCUGGCCAACAUAAAAUUAAGUAAAUGAUACAUAAUAGAUGAUGAUGAUGAUGAUGAUGAUGAUGAUGAUAUUUCAGGAAUGGUUCUCGUAGUGUCACCAUUAUUUACUCUUUAUUUCUUUCAUGCCAGCCACAAUAAGAAACAAACUUUAUUACAUUCUUCCUCAUUGAGUUUAAAGAUACCAGCCUAUAGUAUCUGGCACUACCUAUAUAGAAUCAACACAUCUCAUAUAUUUGCAAUGAGCAUAAAAUAUUUCAUAGUACACUCUUUCACAUGUUUAUGUUACUUACCGCACUUUAUGUAUUGAAGAGUUACACUUGGUGAAACUAUGAACCCUAGUCCAAUUUUUAACAUAAGAAUCAUCUUUCAACAACUUUUACAUGCACUUUUAUUUUAUUACAAAAAUACAAAAAAAAAUCUACCACCGUAUCUUUUAAUUGCCUUGUGCAACUAGCAAGCUUGACACCCUUCAAGACUGUUGGGGAUACAAAUGAAGUUUAUUUGUGUUGUAGAACAUUACCAUUAUUAUAGGACGAGUGAAUUGCAGAAAACCACCACAUUGAAGCGUCGUGUUGCAGAAAAGACUCUUCUACGAAUUUGUGCCAGAAAACACUGAAUUUUGUCCUAAUCAUUUGCAGAAACCACCUAACUUUCUGUUCGAGCAUUUUAACCUCUCUUAUGACAUGUGGAUCCCGCAUUUGCUGACGUGGCAUAACGUUUCAUGGUAGAUGCCGUUAGACUGGUAUUUUUCCAAAAAGAACCUUCCUCCCAAUCCCUCCCCUACCCAAUCCAUAUUGUCACCGAGCUUCCCUCCUCGCGCCAGCUGAUGUUGUCGCCGGCGGCGUGCAUGCAGGGACAUGGCGAAGUGCGCCAGAGAGCGAUGUCGGAGACGUGGAGCAGCUGCUCCGGCUGGGCCACCGGACCUCGCGCUAGUCUGCCGCGAGCAAGUCAUCCGGGAGCGGCGGCGGGGCUCGUCUACGCAGCCGCUUGGUGUGGCGACCUGCCGGAGCUGCAGGACGCCUGCACCCUCCUCACCGCCAAGUUCGGCAGAGCUGCUCCGGCUGGGCCACCGGACCUCGCGCUAGUCCGCCGCGAGCAGGUCAUCCGGGAGCGGCGGCGGGGCUCGUCUACGCAGCCGCCUGGUGUGGCGACCUGCCGGAGCUGCAGGACGCCUGCGCCCUCCUCGCCGCCAAGUUCGGCAGAGCUGCAGCGCCAGAGCCCUACUUCGCGGCGCCGCCGGAGACCCACUUUGCACCACCGCCAAGUCCCUGCAUCCCCGCGCGCCACCAACCUACGACGGGGCUCGCACCAACCUCCCGGCUGCCCCCGCCUGCUUGCGCCUUGGCUGCCUCCUCCCGGUGGCGCCAGGAGUUUCGUUAGGCCAGGGGAGGGCGUGGCGGCGGUAGGUGACGCUGGGGGGAGGGUGGACGACGGCGCAAGGUGGUGCUGGGGUCCGGUGGCGCCAGGAGUUGCGUCAGGCCGGGGGAGGGCGUGGCGGCGGCAGGUGACGCUGGGGGAGGGUGGACGACGGCGCAAGGACGCGCGUCAGGCCGGGGGAGGGGGUGGCGGCGGCGGGUGAGGCUGGGGGGAGGGUGGCCAGCGGCGGGAGGUGGUCAGGUGGAUUGGGAAGAGGUGGUCGGGAGGAUUGGGUGGAGGUGCUGCGGCAAAUAGUUCUGCUGCUCUGCUCGGCUGCUGUGUCAGCCCAAAUCCAUGAAGGGAGUUGAUUGCUUUUUGUUUUCUGAUUGAAGGAUGUUCCUGUAAAACUACAGGGACUGAUUUGUAAAUCCAGAAAAUCCCUCAUCUAACGUCGUCUACCACGAAAUGUUGGGCCACAUCAUCAAAUACGGGACCCACAUGUCGUAAUAGAGGUUAAAAUGCCCGAACAGAAGGUUAGGUGGUUUUUGCAAAUGAUUUGGAUAAAAAUCAGUUUUUUCUGGCAUAAAUUUGUAGAAAAGUCUUUUCUGUAACACGACGCUUCAAUGUGGUGGUUUUCUG